rnacentral:rRNA from 1 species
GACGAACCGUGCGAACGUUGUUCGGAAUCACUGGGCUUAAAGGGCGCGUAGGCGGGUCGCAAGUCUGUGGUGAAAGCCUCCAGCUUAACUGGAGAAGUGCCGUGGAUACUGCGAAUCUUGAGGAGGGUAGGGGCGUCUGGAACGGUCGGUGGAGCGGUGAAAUGCGUUGAUAUCGACCGGAACUCCGGUGGCGAAGGCGAGGCGCUGGACCCUUCUGACGCUGAGGCGCGAAAGCCAGGGGAGCAAACGGG